GUGAUGUGGCAGCAGAUGUACUAAAAUUGCAAGGGUACAGAGAAGAUUAGCAUGGUCCCUGUUAAGGAUGACACACAAAUUCAUAAAGCAUUCCAUUUUUUU
rnacentral:snRNA from 1 species